rnacentral:rRNA from 1 species
UACGUAGGGUGCGAGCGUUGUCCGGAAUUAUUGGGCGUAAAGAGCUCGUAGGCGGUGUGUCGCGUCGGCCGUGAAAACCUGGGGCUUAACUCUGGGCUUGCGGUCGAUACGGGCAUCACUUGAGUUCGGCAGGGGAGACUGGAAUUCCUGGUGUAGCGGUGAAAUGCGCAGAUAUCAGGAGGAACACCGGUGGCGAAGGCGGGUCUCUGGGCCGAUACUGACGCUGAGGAGCGAAAGCGUGGGGAGCGAACAGG